GAUGAACGCUGGCGGCGUGCCUAAUACAUGCAAGUCGAGCGAACAGACGAGGAACUUGCUCCUCUGACGUUGGCGGCGGACGGGUGAGUAACACGUGGAUAACCUACCUAUAAGACUGGGAUAACUUCGGGAAACCGGAGCUAAUACCGGAUAAUAUAUUGAACCGCAUGGUUCAAUAGUGAAAGACGGUUUUGCUGUCACUUAUAGAUGGAUCCGCGCCGCAUUAGCUAGUUGGUAAGGUAACGGCUUACCAAGGCAACGAUGCGUAGCCGACCUGAGAGGGUGAUCGGCCACACUGGAACUGAGACACGGUCCAGACUCCUACGGGAGGCAGCAGUAGGGAAUCUUCCGCAAUGGGCGAAAGCCUGACGGAGCAACGCCGCGUGAGUGAUGAAGGUCUUCGGAUCGUAAAACUCUGUUAUUAGGGAAGAACAAAUGUGUAAGUAACUAUGCACGUCUUGACGGUACCUAAUCAGAAAGCCACGGCUAACUACGUG
rnacentral:rRNA from 1 species